UACGUAGGGUGCGAGCGUUUGUCCGGAAUUAUUGGGCGUAAAGGGCUCGUAGGCGGUCUGUCACGUCGGGAGUGAAAACACGGGGCUUAACCCCGUGCCUGCUUCCGAUACGGGCAGACUAGAGGUAUGCAGGGGAGAACGGAAUUCCUGGUGUAGCGGUGAAAUGCGCAGAUAUCAGGAGGAACACCGGUGGCGAAGGCGGGUCUCUGGGCCGAUACUGACGCUGAGGAGCGAAAGCGUGGGGAGCGAACAGG
rnacentral:rRNA from 1 species